rnacentral:misc_RNA from 1 species
CCAUUUAACAUUAUGUUCCUCAGCAAUGGCACUCAGAAUUUUCAUUUUGGUGGGACCAUCAGGUGCUUUGGCUGACAGUUUUUCCACCAACUAGGAGAUGACAACAAAAAAUCAUUACUGACAACAUUAAAUUAUAGUCGCACUAAUUAACUGCUACUGCACAAACUUACCAGGCGACUAACACCACAGUCUGAACGUAGUUCAACUGCUGCAGAGACGAAUUCUUUCCCAUAUUUUGAAGUAAAAUGCUUACGGACAUCCAUCAAUUCAGGUAUA